rnacentral:misc_RNA from 1 species
AUCCAUUUCACGUGCAAACACAUCAAAAUAUUAUAUCAAAUAGAGGAAAAUAUCUUUAAAAAUAAAUUAAUCAUAUCCUUGAUUAUCAUUUUGAUAAAUUAAGGAUAACAAUAGCAAUGUACUUCUAUGCAUGAAGAAAACAUGCUUUGAUACAUUACAUCCCAAGGACAUGCACACUUGUGUAUUGUCCAAAAGGUCAUUCUAAUAACG